rnacentral:rRNA from 1 species
GACAGGGGGCUCGAGCGUUAAUCGGAAUCACUGGGCUUAAAGGGUGCGUAGGCGGAUCGGUAAGCAUCCCGUGAAAUCCCUUGGCUCAACCAAGGAACCGCGGGAUGGACUGCCGAUCUUGAGGAAGCUAGAGGCGGGUAGAACGAUAGGUGGAGCGGUGGAAUGCGUAGAUAUCUGGAGGAACACCGGUGGCGAAGGCGGCGUUCUGGACUGCAACUGACACUGAGGAACGAAAGCCAGGGGAGCAAACGGG